UACAUGGGGUGCAAACGUUGCUCGGAAUUAUUGGGCGUAAAGCGCGCGUAGGCGGUUACUCAAGUCGGAUGUGAAAGCCCUCGGCUUAACUGAGGAAGUGCACCCGAAACUGAGUAGCUAGAGUACCAAAGAGGGUCGCGGAAUUCCCGGUGUAGAGGUGAAAUGCGUAGAGAUCUGGAGGAACACCGGUGGCGAAGGCGGCCCCCUGGUUCGAUACUGACGCUGAGGUGCGAAAGUGUGGGGAGCGAACAGG
rnacentral:rRNA from 1 species